rnacentral:rRNA from 1 species
AUUGAACGCUGGCGGCAGGCCUAACACAUGCAAGUCGAGCGCGCGGCGGACGGGUGAGUAAUGUAUGGGGACUGCCCGAUAGAGGGGGAUAACUCCUGGAAACGGUGGCUAAUACCGCAUACUAUCGGAUAACCCAUAUGGGAUUAGCUAGUAGGUGGGUUAAAGGCACACCUAGGCGACGAUCUCGAGCUGGGCUGAGAGGAUGAGUGUCAACCCGGGGACGGGGACACGGCCCAGACUCCUACGGAGGCAGCAGUGGGGAAUAGUGCACAAUGGGCGAAAGCCGGAUGCAGCAAUGCGGGUUGUAUGAAGAAGGCCUUAGGGUUGUAAAGUACUUUCAGCGGGGAGGCGUUACCCGCAGAAGAAGCACCGGCUAACUCCGUGCCAGCCGCCGCGGUAAUUC